rfam:Triticum urartu cultivar G1812 contig844470, whole genome shotgun sequence.
CAAGUACUCCCUCCGUCCCAAAUUUUUUGUCUUAGAUUUGUGUAGAUAUGGAUGUAUCUAAUACUAAAACGUGACUUGAUACAUCCGUAUCUAGACAAAUCUAAGACAAGAAUUUUGGGACGGGGGAAGUAUAAG